CAGGAGUUAGGGCGAAUUAUUCCCAUCAAUCUUAGUUGGCGCGGCAGAGCUCACGAACAAUUGUCGACUGAGCAGAGGUUUAGUCCCGAGUAAUGGCGUUAACAAUGAGCG
rnacentral:rRNA from 1 species